GCUUCUUUGCCAUAUGCCAUAGCUCAGGUGGCCAUUGAGAUUCCUUACGUUGUGAGCCAAGCUUUAAUUUUCUCAGCCAUUGUUUAUCCAAUGAUUGGAUUCCCAUUUACAGUGGCAAACUUCUUCUGGUUCAUUCUGUUCUUGGUCUUGAGUUUUAUCUAUUUUGUUCUCUUUGGAAUGAUGACAAUCUCACUAACACCAAACCAAGAAAUAGCAGCGCUUCUCUCUUUUUUCCUCUUUGUUACGUGAAAUAUCUUCUCCGGAUUCUUCAUUCCUCAAAAGAUGAUACCAAUUUGGUGGAGAUGGUAUUAUUGGGCUAAUCCUGCUGCAUGGACUGUUUAUGGUCUAAUGGUUACACAGCUAGGUGACGGUGAUGAUAGUUUGGAAAUUAUGGGAGGGAUCAAGAUGAUGGUGAAGGAGUUUCUCAAGCAAUAUUUUGGGGUACAAGAGAGCUAUCUUCCACUCAUUGUGUCCCUACACUUUGCAAUAAUUGUGUUAUUUAUGUUUGUAUUUGGGUUCAGCAUCAAGUAUCUGAAUUUUCAGAGAAGAUAGCUAAACUGUAUGUUUUGUACAACCAAGAUUUAAUUUCAAUCAAC